CACGGGGGNCCUACGGGAGGCAGCAGUGGGGAAUCUUAGNCAAUGGGCGCAAGCCUGAUCUAGCCAUGCCGCGUGAUCGAUGAAGGCCUUAGGGUUGUAAAGAUCUUUCAGAUGGGAAGAUAAUGACGGUACCAUCAGAAGAAGCCCCGGCUAACUCCGUGCCAGCAGCCGCGGUAAUACGGAGGGGGCUAGCGUUAUUCGGAAUUACUGGGCGUAAAGCGCACGUAGGCGGAUUAGAAAGUCAGAGGUGAAAUCCCAGGGCUCAACCUUGGAACUNCCUUUGAAACUCCUAGUCUUGAGAUCGAGAGAGGUGAGUGGAAUUCCGAGUGUAGAGGUGAAAUUCGUAGAUAUUCGGAGGAACACCAGUGGCGAAGGCGNCUCACUGGCUCGAUACUGACGCUGAGGUGCGAAAGCGUGGGGAGCAAACAGGAUUAGAUACCCCUGGUAGUCCACNCCGUAAACCGAUGAAUGCCAGACGUCAGCAAGCAUGCUUGUUGGUGUCACACCUAACCGGAUUAAGCAUCCCGCCUGGA
rnacentral:rRNA from 1 species